CUUUGGAAACAGGCAGGCGAUGGCCGUUGGAACCAGGAGAGAAGAGAAUCCUUGAAGGAGACCCUGUAACCCUCCUGAAUGAAGUCCAUAACCAUAGACGGAUGGCACAUCAUUUUAGCAUUACACCACUUUUACUGGUGUAAAACCUGGUGAAGGUUCUACAGUGACACCUUCAGCAGGACAUAAAGUCCAAAGCUGUGUAUCUUCACAGUUCUUCUUGGCUGCCCUGCUUUCCUCCAGCUGCUCGGUAGACAUCAUCUCAGGAGGCUCAACCGCAGCUGGCCCACCAUGACUGUGCAGCAGAGAGCAACAGUCCCGGAAGUGUGAAAAGUACAGAGGUCUUAAGUGGUUAUGUGAAGGACUACACAUAAUCAGAAAACAAUCAUCUGUCCUCCUGCAGUCAGACAACAGUUUUGUUUGCUUAUAUACAUAUAUAAUUAAAUAAUAUGCUUAUGCAAAUGUGUAAUAAAAACACUCUGCCUGAUGCUAUGCACUCAUAAUA